rnacentral:rRNA from 1 species
UACGUAGGGUGCGAGCGUUGCCCGGAUUUACUGGGCGUAAAGGGCGCGUAGGCGGCAAUUCAAGUCAUCUGUGAAAUCUCCGGGCUUAACUCGGAACGGUCAGAUGAUACUGCUUUGCUAGAGUGCAGAAGGGGCAAUCGGAAUUCUUGGUGUAGCGGUGAAAUGCGUAGAUAUCAAGAGGAACACCUGAGGUGAAGACGGGUUGCUGGGCUGACACUGACGCUGAGGCGCGAAAGCCAGGGGAGCAAACGGG